rnacentral:rRNA from 1 species
UACGAAGGGGGCAAGCGUUGUCCGGAUUUAUUGGGCGUAAAGCGCUCGCAGGUGGUCCGUCGCGUCGUGCGUGAAAUACCCCGGCUCAACUGGGGGGGGUCGUGCGAUACGGGCGGACUGGAGGCCAGUAGGGGGAUGCGGAAUUCCGGGUGUAGUGGUGGAAUGCGUAGAGAUCCGGAGGAACACCAGCGGCGAAGGCGGCAUCCUGGACUGGUCCUGACACUCAGGAGCGAAAGCGUGGGGAGCGAUCCGG